rnacentral:rRNA from 1 species
UUGAAGAGUUUGAUCAUGGCUCAGAUUGAACGCUGGCGGCAGGCCUAACACAUGCAAGUCGAGCGGUAGCACAGAGAGCUUGCUCUCGGGUGACGAGCGGCGGACGGGUGAGUAAUGUCUGGGAAACUGCCUGAUGGAGGGGGAUAACUACUGGAAACGGUAGCUAAUACCGCAUAAYGUCGCAAGACCAAAGUGGGGGACCUUCGGGCCUCAUGCCAUCAGAUGUGCCCAGAUGGGAUUAGCUAGUAGGUGGGGUAAYGGCUCACCUAGGCGACGAUCCCUAGCUGGUCUGAGAGGAUGACCAGCCACACUGGAACUGAGACACGGUCCAGACUCCUACGGGAGGCAGCAGUGGGGAAUAUUGCACAAUGGGCGCAAGCCUGAUGCAGCCAUGCCGCGUGUGUGAAGAAGGCCUUCGGGUUGUAAAGCACUUUCAGCGGGGAGGAAGGCGAUAAGGUUAAUAACCUUGUCGAUUGACGUUACCCGCAGAAGAAGCACCGGCUAACUCCGUGCCAGCAGCCGCGGUAAUACGGAGGGUGCAAGCGUUAAUCGGAAUUACUGGGCGUAAAGCGCACGCAGGCGGUCUGUCAAGUCGGAUGUGAAAUCCCCGGGCUCAACCUGGGAACUGCAUUCGAAACUGGCAGGCUAGAGUCUUGUAGAGGGGGGUAGAAUUCCAGGUGUAGCGGUGAAAUGCGUAGAGAUCUGGAGGAAUACCGGUGGCGAAGGCGGCCCCCUGGACAAAGACUGACGCUCAGGUGCGAAAGCGUGGGGAGCAAACAGGAUUAGAUACCCUGGUAGUCCACGCCGUAAACGAUGUCGAUUUGGAGGUUGUGCCCUUGAGGCGUGGCUUCCGGAGCUAACGCGUUAAAUCGACCGCCUGGGGAGUACGGCCGCAAGGUUAAAACUCAAAUGAAUUGACGGGGGCCCGCACAAGCGGUGGAGCAUGUGGUUUAAUUCGAUGCAACGCGAAGAACCUUACCUGGUCUUGACAUCCACAGAACUUUCCAGAGAUGGAUUGGUGCCUUCGGGAACUGUGAGACAGGUGCUGCAUGGCUGUCGUCAGCUCGUGUUGUGAAAUGUUGGGUUAAGUCCCGCAACGAGCGCAACCCUUAUCCUUUGUUGCCAGCU